rnacentral:misc_RNA from 1 species
GCAAAAUACAUUACAGAAGCUUCCCAAUAAUAUAUUUGAAAAAAGUUAUCCUAUGAGGGAAUUUGACUUGCAAAAGAGAAUCCAUUCGUUCUUCUACAAAGCUGCAGAGUUGUGCAUGGUCGGUAUAACUGCAGGAGCAGCUCAAGGCGCUUUGUCCAAUUUUCUCUCUAGUAAAAAGAAGGAAAGGUUAUCUGUAUCAGUUCCAACUGUGAGUACUAAUGCUCUCGGCAAUGGUGCUUUUCUCGGGCUCUAUGCAAAUCUCCGGUAUCAGUUAUUAUGCGGUUUUGACAGAGCAAUGAUCAAUCAUUUUGAUGUUAUUGGAGUGGCUCUGUUUUUCAGCUCUGCAUUGAGGGUUUUGAAUGUGCAACUAGGAGAAAGAUCAAGACUGGCUUGGCUUGGAGUGGAGGCAGACCCACUGGUUCAGUCAAGUGAUCUCUUGAAGAAGGUUUACAACAGACCUUCUGAAGACGUUAGUAGGUCUUCUUCCUCGAAAUGGUUUAUUUCAAAGAAUGCCAUCAUUUCUGGCCUUGGACUUCUUGGUCUCAAACAAACUGGUGCUGAUUCCGUCUCUGAAGGUGAGUCAGUACCCAAAGCACGGAGGAAGAGAGUUGUUCGGAAAAAGGUAACAGCAGGUUCGUCGUGAUCUUCUUAUCCAGUCAAUGCAUUCUUCGUUACCCAGUUUUGCAGUUUGACGAUAGAUUUGGUGCAAAGUUGCCAUAUAAAUCUUCGAUAAAAGUUAGUUGCUAGGUGGAUGAUAUUUUUUUCCCUUUGAUGUAACCGGAGAAAUUCAUUUGAAACUGAAGCGAUGCAAUUAUUGUAAAAUCUCCCUUGUAGGGAUUUUUU